rnacentral:rRNA from 1 species
AAUGCCUAGGAAUCUGCCUGGUAGUGGGGGACAACGUUUCGAAAGGAACGCUAAUACCGCAUACGUCCUACGGGAGAAAGCAGGGGACCUUCGGGCCUUGCGCUAUCAGAUGAGCCUAGGUCGGAUUAGCUAGUUGGUGAGGUAAUGGCUCACCAAGGCGACGAUCCGUAACUGGUCUGAGAGGAUGAUCAGUCACACUGGAACUGAGACACGGUCCAGACUCCUACAGGAGGCAGCAGUGGGGAAUAUUGGACAAUGGGCGAAAGCCUGAUCCAGCCAUGCCGCGUGUGUGAAGAAGGUCUUCGGAUUGUAAAGCACUUUAAGUUGGGAGGAAGGGCAUUAACCUAAUACGUUAGUGUUUUGACGUUACCAACAGAAUAAGCACCGGCUAACUCUGUGCCAGCAGCCGCGGUAAUACAGAGGGUGCAAGCGUUAAUCGGAAUUACUGGGCGUAAAGCGCGCGUAGGUGGUUCGUUAAGUUGGAUGUGAAAUCCCCGGGCUCAACCUGGGAACUGCAUCCAAAACUGGCGAGCUAGAGUAGGGCAGAGGGUGGUGGAAUUUCCUGUGUAGCGGUGAAAUGCGUAGAUAUAGGAAGG